AGAGUUUGAUCAUGGCUCAGAUUGAACGCUGGCGGCAUGCCUUACACAUGCAAGUCGAACGGCAGCACGGACUUCGGUCUGGUGGCGAGUGGCGAACGGGUGAGUAAUACAUCGGAACGUGCCUAGUAGUGGGGGAUAACUACUCGAAAGAGUGGCUAAUACCGCAUGAGAUCUACGGAUGAAAGCAGGGGAUCGCAAGACCUUGUGCUACUAGAGCGGCUGAUGGCAGAUUAGGUAGUUGGUGGGAUAAAAGCUUACCAAGCCGACGAUCUGUAGCUGGUCUGAGAGGACGAUCAGCCACACUGGGACUGAGACACGGCCCAGACUCCUACGGGAGGCAGCAGUGGGGAGUUUUGGACAAUGGGCGCAAGCCUGAUCCAGCAAUGCCGCGUGCAGGAUGAAGGCCUUCGGGUUGUAAACUGUUUUUGUACGGAACGAAAAGCUUCGGGCUAAUACCCUGGAGUCAUGACGGUACCGUAAGAAUAAGCACCGGCUAACUACGUGCCAGCAGCCGCGGUAAUACGUAGGGUGCAAGCGUUAAUCGGAAUUACUGGGCGUAAAGCGUGCGCAGGCGGUUUUGUAAGACAGAGGUGAAAUCCCCGGGCUCAACCUGGGAACUGCCUUUGUGACUGCAAGGCUAGAGUACGGCAGAGGGGGAUGGAAUUCCGCGUGUAGCAGUGAAAUGCGUAGAUAUGCGGAGGAACACCGAUGGCGAAGGCAAUCCCCUGGGCCUGUACUGACGCUCAUGCACGAAAGCGUGGGGAGCAAACAGGAUUAGAUACCCUGGUAGUCCACGCCCUAAACGAUGUCAACUGGUUGUUGGGUCUUAUCUGACUCAGUAACGAAGCUAACGCGUGAAGUUGACCGCCUGGGGAGUACGGCCGCAAGGUUGAAACUCAAAUGAAUUGACGG
rnacentral:rRNA from 1 species